rfam:Phaethon lepturus contig72449, whole genome shotgun sequence.
UUGGGGUACGGCGACAUGUACCCCAUGACGUGGUCGGGCAUGUUGGUGGGGGCUCUUUGCGCCUUGGCGGGGGUCCUCACCAUCGCCAUGCCCGUCCCCGUCAUCGUCAACAAU